rnacentral:rRNA from 1 species
UACGGAGGAUGCGAGCGUUAUCCGGAUUUAUUGGGUUUAAAGGGUGUGUAGGCGGUCCGUUAAGUCAGCGGUAAAAUUGCGGGGCUCAACCCCGUCGAGCCGUUGAAACUGGCAGACUUGAGUUGGCGAGAAGUACGCGGAAUGCGCGGUGUAGCGGUGAAAUGCAUAGAUAUCGCGCAGAACUCCGAUUGCGAAGGCAGCGUACCGGCGCCAGACUGACGCUGAGGCACGAAAGCGUGGGGAUCGAACAGG